rnacentral:misc_RNA from 1 species
UACGGAGGGAGCGAGCGUUAAUCGGAAUAACGGGGCGUAAAGCGCGCGUAGGUGGUUGAGGCAGUCAGAUGUGAAAGCCCCGGGCUUAACCUGGGAACUGCAGCUGAUACUGCUUGACUCGAGUACGGUAGAGGGGAGUGGAAUUUCCUGUGUAGAGGUGAAAUGCGCAGAUAUAGGAAGGAACACCAGUGGCGAAGGCGACUGCCUGGACUGAUACUGACACUGAGGUGCGAAAGCGUGGGUAGCAAACAGG